UUGAUUCUGGCUCCGGACGAACGCUGGCGGCGUGCUUAACACAUGCAAGUCGAGCGAUGAAACUACUUCGGUAGUGAAUUAGCGGCGAACGGGUGAGGAACACGUGAGGAAUCUGCCUUCUACACUGGGAUAACUCCGGGAAACCGGGGCUAAUACCGGAUAUGAAACUUGGUGGCAUCACCGAGUUUGGAAAGUUUUUCGGUAGAAGAUGACCUCGCGGCCUAUCAGCUUGUUGGUGAGGUAAUGGCUCACCAAGGCGACGACGGGUAGCCGGCCUGAGAGGGCGACCGGCCACACUGGGACUGAGACACGGCCCAGACUCCUACGGGAGGCAGCAGUGGGGAAUAUUGGGCAAUGGAGGAAACUCUGACCCAGCGACGCCGCGUGAGGGAUGAAGGCCUUCGGGUUGUAAACCUCUUUCAGUAGGGAAGAAGCGAAAGUGACGGUACCUACAGAAGAAGCACCGGCUAACUAUGUGCCAGCAGCCGCGGUAAUACAUAGGGUGCAAGCGUUGUCCGGAAUUAUUGGGCGUAAAGAGCUCGUAGGUGGUUCGAUACGUCGGAUGUGAAAAUCAGGGGCUCAACCCCUGACCUGCAUCCGAUACGGUCGAGCUAGAGUUUGGUAGGGGAGACUGGAAUUCCUGGUGUAGCGGUGGAAUGCGCAGAUAUCAGGAGGAACACCGAUGGCGAAGGCAGGUCUCUGGGCCAAUACUGACACUGAGGAGCGAAAGCGUGGGGAGCGAACAGGAUUAGAUACCCUGGUAGUCCACGCCGUAAACGGUGGGCGCUAGUUGUGCGAACCUUCCACGGUUUGUGCGACGCAGCUAACGCAUUAAGCGCCCCGCCUGGGGAGUACGAUCGCAAGAUUAAAACUCAAAGGAAUUGACGG
rnacentral:rRNA from 1 species